rnacentral:rRNA from 1 species
UACGUAGGGGCCGAGCGUUGUCCGGAGUUACUGGGCGUAAAGCGCGCGCAGGCGGCUCGCUUUGCCCGGCGUGAAAGCCCCCGGCUCAACCGGGGAGGGUCGUCGGGAACGGGCGGGCUUGAGGCCGGCAGGGGCAGGUGGAAUUCCCGGUGUAGUGGUGAAAUGCGUAGAGAUCGGGAGGAACACCCGUGGCGAAGGCGGCCUGCUGGGCCGGACCUGACGCUGAGGCGCGAAGGCGUGGGGAGCGAACGGG